rnacentral:rRNA from 1 species
ACGGGUGAGUAACGCGUGGUCAACCUUCCGUUGAAUGGGGGAUAACUAGCCGAAAGGUUAGCUAAUACCGCAUACGAUCUUUCGAAGGCAUCUUUGAAAGAUGAAAGGAGCAAUUCGUUCAACGACGGGACCGCGUCCCAUUAGCUAGAUGGUGGGGUAAUGGCCUACCAUGGCAACGAUGGGUAGCUGGUUUGAGAGAGCGACCAGCCACACUGGGACUGAGAGACGGCCCAGACUCCUACGGGAGGCAGCAGUGAGGAAUUUUCCGCAAUGGGCGAAAGCCUGACGGAGCGACGCCGCGUGUGGGAAGAAGGCCUUCGGGUCGUAAACCACUGUCGAAGGGGACGAUAAUGACGGUACCCUUGGAGGAAGCCCCGGCUAACUACGUGCCAGCAGCCGCGGUAAGACGUAGGGGGCAAGCGUUGUUCGGAAUUAUUGGGCGUAAAGCGCUCGUAGGCGGGAUUGGAAGUCCGUGUUGAAAGACCUCGGCUCAACUGAGGGACCGGCUCGGAUACUCUAAUUCUUGAGGCAAUCAGAGGAUGAUGGAAUUCCCGGUGUAGCGGUGAAAUGCGUAGA